GACGAACGCUGGCGGCGUGCCUAAUACAUGCAAGUCGAACGCAGUGGGGACGGGUGAGAAACACGUGGGUAACCUCCCAUCAGAGGGGAAAAAAGUUGGAAACAGGUGCUAAACCGAUAUUGAAGGAUGGACCCGCGGUGCAUUAGCUAGUUGGUGAGGUAAAGGCUCACCAAGGCCACGAUGCAUAGCCUACCUGAGAGGGUGAUCGUCCCCACUGGGACUGAGACACGGCCCAGACUCCUACGGGAGGCCGCAGUAGGGAAUCUUCGGCAAUGGACGAAAGUCUGACCGAGCAACGCCGCGUGAGUGAAGAAGGUUUUCGGAUCGUAAAACUCUGUUGUUAGAGAAGCGGUAUCUAACCAGAAAGCCACGGCGAACUACGUGCCAGCAGCCGCGGUAAUUC
rnacentral:rRNA from 1 species